rnacentral:rRNA from 1 species
AUUGAACGCUGGCGGAAUGCUUUACACAUGCAAGUCGAACGGCAGCACGGGGGCAACCCUGGUGGCGAGUGGCGAACGGGUGAGUAAUACAUCGGAACGUGCCCGGUCGUGGGGGAUAACGUAGCGAAAGUUACGCUAAUACCGCAUACGAUCUGAGGAUGAAAGCGGGGGACCUUCGGGCCUCGCGCGAUCGGAGCGGCCGAUGUCAGAUUAGGUGGUUGGUGGGGUAAAGGCCUACCAAGCCGACGAUCUGUAGCUGGUCUGAGAGGACGACCAGCCACACUGGGACUGAGACACGGCCCAGACUCCUACGGGAGGCAGCAGUGGGGAAUUUUGGACAAUGGGCGCAAGCCUGAUCCAGCCAUUCCGCGUGCAGGACGAAGGCCUUCGGGUUGUAAACUGCUUUUGUAUGGAACGAAAAGGCUCUGGCUAAUACCUGGGGCUCAUGACGGUACCGUAAGAAUAAGCACCGGCUAACUACGUG